UACGUAGGGUGCGAGCGUUAAUCGGAAUUACUGGGCGUAAAGCGUGCGCAGGCGGUGAUGUAAGACAGAUGUGGAAAUCCCCGGGCUUAACCUGGGAACUGCAUUUGUGACUGCAUCGCUGGAGUGCGGCAGAGGGGAUGGAAUUCCGCGUGUAGCAGUGAAAUGCGUAGAUAUCAAGAGGAACACCUGAGGUGAAGACGGGUGCUGGGCUGAUGACUGACGCUGAGGCGCGAAAGCUAGGGUAGCAAACGGGA
rnacentral:rRNA from 1 species